GAUGAACGCUGGCGGCGUGCCUAAUACAUGCAAGUCGAGCGAACGGACGAGAAGCUUGCUUCUCUGAUGUUAGCGGCGGACGGGUGAGUAAAACGUGGAUAACCUACCUAUAAGACUGGGAUAACUUCGGGAAACCGGAGCUAAUACCGGAUAAUAUUUUGAACCGCAUGGUUCAAAAGUGAAAGACGGUCUUGCUGUCACUUAUAGAUGGAUCCGCGCUGCAUUAGCUAGUUGGUAAGGUAACGGCUUACCAAGGCAACGAUGCAUAGCCGACCUGAGAGGGUGAUCGGCCACACUGGAACUGAGACACGGUCCAGACUCCUACGGGAGGCGGCAGUAGGGAAUCUUCCGCAAUGGGCGAAAGCCUGACGGAGCAACGCCGCGUGAGUGAUGAAGGUCUUCGGAUCGUAAAACUCUGUUAUUAGGGAAGAACAUAUGUGUAAGUAACUGUGCACAUCUUGACGGUACCUAAUCAGAAAGCCACGGCUAACUACGUG
rnacentral:rRNA from 1 species